UCUCUCUCUCACACGUGUUUCUUCUUCUUCUUCUGUCUCUUCCCUCUUCUCUCUAUUCUUUCUUUUGUCUUCCUUCUCUAACUUUUUGAUUUUUGUCCUAUUCCCAACCAUUUUCGGUUUCAAAUAUGUGAAAUUUGAUAAACCCUAAUCCAAACAUUUGUUCGGUUACAAAUCUAUGAUAUUUGAUUUGGGUGGGUGCGAUUUUUGGUUUCAGGUGUGUUUCGACGGUUGAAAUCAAAAGCACUAUAGUAGAUCUGUGAUGGAGACAACAAAGACUACGACAUUUUCAGCGGUGUUCAGUUUCACUAUGGUAGAUCUGUGAUGGAGGCAACGCUUUUUCGACAACGAUUUGAGUGAUGGUCGGAUUCAAAAUGGUGGAUGUGUGACUUUUUUUAGUUUUUGUGCAAGCUUCUGUUUUAAGACUUUUUUUAUGGUUUUUUCUUACAUUUUACAUCAAUGAUUUUAUAACUUUGGAAUUUUUAUGUUUUUAUGAAGUUUGGAUCUUGUUGGAUGAGGAUGAGGACUUCAUUUCAAAUCUUUCAGAUUUUUGACAGUUUGUGUUCUAUAAAGAGAGUCAUUUUGUUUUAAUAAUAACCAUUAUUGAUGUAUUUAUAUUUAUUUACAGAUCUCUCAUUUUGAGGACAACAACUAUGGUGUUUCCUGCAGUUUUAUGGCGGUGUACGGUUUCACAAUGGUAUAUCUUCUUCCUUUUCAGAAUAUAAACUGGAUCGAGUUUUACCGUUGAGUUAUGAAGCUAACAAGGUUUUAGACUGGAUCGAGUUUUACCGCUGAGUUUUGAAGCUAACAAGGUCUGAAUAAACACCAGAGGCAAUAGGUCACCUGAAAAACUGUUUGUUCUCCUCGACAUGUAUGAGAUAAUGAAAGAGCUUCAACUAGAGGUCUGAAUAAACACCAGAGGCAAUAGGUCACCUGAAAAACUGUUUGUUCUCCUCGACAUGUAUGAGAUAAUGAGAGAGCUUCAACCAGAGGUAUUGUUAAGUUUUAACUGUUUUUCGGGUUUUUGAAUGUGCAGAAUUUUGUGGUGAAUGUUAGAAAGGGCUUGAUAUGUCUCAGUCUGAACCACGGGUUUAGUGAUGAUAAUGCUUUGUUUUUGGUAUGAAUAUUGUAGGAUUGUAUUGGUGUUGGCCAUUCGGUUUGUUGUUUUGAAUGAAAUGCAGGUCUGAAUAAACACCAGAGGCAAUAGGUCACCUGAAAAACUGUUUGUUCUCCUCGACAUGUAUGCGAUAAUGAGAGAGCUUCAACCAGAGGAUUGUAUUGGUGUUGGCCCUUCGGUUUGUUGUUUUGAAUGAAAUCCAGGUCGGAAUAAACACCAGAAGCAAUAGGUCACCUGAAAAACUGUUUGUUCUUCUCGACAUGUAUGAGAUAAUGAGAGAGCUUCAACCAGAGGUUUUGUUAAGUUAAAACUUCUUGUCUUUGUUUCACUGGAUUAACGCAUCUACAUUUAGACCACUUUUUAGCCAACUAU